rnacentral:rRNA from 1 species
UGAGGAAUAAGCUUUGUAGGAAAUGACAAAGCGAUGACGUUAAUUUAUGAAUAAGCCCCGGCUAAUUACGUGCCAGCAGCCGCGGUAAUACGUAAGGGGCGAGCGUUGUUCGGGAUUAUUGGGCGUAAAGGGUGAGUAGGCGGAUAUAUAAGUCUAUGCAUAAAAUACCACAGCUCAACUGUGGAGCUAUGUUGGAAACUAUAUGUCUAGAGUCUGAUAGAGGAAGUUAGAAUUUCUGGUGUAAGGGUGGAAUCUGUUGAUAUCAGGAAGAAUACCGGAGGCGAAGGCGAACUUCUGGGUCAAGACUGACGCUGAGUCACGAAAGC